AACGGCAGCAUGACCUAGCUUGCUAGGUUGAUGGCGAGUGGCGAACGGGUGAGUAAUGCACCGGAACGUACCCAGUAAUGGGGGAUAACGCACCGAAAGGUGUGCUAAUACCGCAUACGCCCUGAGGGGGAAAGCGGGGGAUCGUAAGACCUCGCGUUAUUGGAGCGGCCGAUGCCGGAUUAGCUAGUUGGUGGGGUAAAGGCCUACCAAGGCGACGAUCCGUAGCUGGUCUGAGAGGACGA
rnacentral:rRNA from 1 species